rnacentral:pre_miRNA from 17 species
CCAGCCUGUGGUACUCACAUGUGGAAGCACUCUUCUGACAUCAGCAUGGAAAGUGCUACCAUAUUUGAGUGUCACCGGGGGG